rnacentral:rRNA from 1 species
AUUGAACGCUGGCGGCAUGCCUUACACAUGCAAGUCGAACGGCAGCACGGGUGCUUGCACCUGGUGGCGAGUGGCGAACGGGUGAGUAAUACAUCGGAACGUACCUUAUCGUGGGGGAUAACGCAGCGAAAGUUGCGCUAAUACCGCAUACGCCCUGAGGGGGAAAGCGGGGGACCGUAAGGCCUCGCGCGAUUAGAGCGGCCGAUGUCUGAUUAGCUUGUUGGUGAGGUAAAAGCUCACCAAGGCGAUGAUCAGUAGCUGGUCUGAGAGGACGAUCAGCCACACUGGGACUGAGACACGGCCCAGACUCCUACGGGAGGCAGCAGUGGGGAAUUUUGGACAAUGGGGGCAACCCUGAUCCAGCAAUGCCGCGUGAGUGAAGAAGGCCUUCGGGUUGUAAAGCUCUUUUGUCAGGGAAGAAACAGCAGCUCUAACACAGACUGCGAAUGACGGUACCUGAAGAAUAAGCACCGGCUAACUACGUGCCAGCAGCCGCGGUAAUACGUAGGGUGCGAGCGUUAAUCGGAAUUACUGGGCGUAAAGCGUGCGCAGGCGGUUAUACAAGACAGGCGUGAAAUCCCCGGGCUUAACCUGGGAAUGGCGUCUGUGACUGUAUAGCUAGAGUGUGUCAGAGGGGGGUGGAAUUCCACGUGUAGCAGUGAAAUGCGUAGAUAUGUGGAGGAACACCAAUGGCGAAGGCAGCCCC